UAGGGAAUCUUCCGCAAUGGGCGAAAGCCUGACGGAGCAACGCCGCGUGAGUGAUGAAGGUCUUCGGAUCGUAAAACUCUGUUAUUAGGGAAGAACAAAUGUGUAAGUAACUAUGCACGUCUUGACGGUACCUAAUCAGAAAGCCACGGCUAACUACGUGCCAGCAGCCGCGGUAAUACGUAGGUGGCAAGCGUUAUCCGGAAUUAUUGGGCGUAAAGCGCGCGUAGGCGGUUUUUUAAGUCUGAUGUGAAAGCCCACGGCUCAACCGUGGAGGGUCAUUGGAAACUGAAAAACUUGAGUGCAGAAGAGGAAAGUGGAAUUCCAUGUGUAGCGGUGAAAUGCGCAGAGAUAUGGAGGAACACCAGUGGCGAAGGCGACUUUCUGGUCUGUAACUGACGCUGAUGUGCGAAAGCGUGGGGAUCAAACAGG
rnacentral:rRNA from 1 species